rnacentral:rRNA from 1 species
GACGAACGCUGGCGGCGUGCUUAACACAUGCAAGUCGAACGAAGAGCGAUGGAAGCUUGCUUCUAUCAAUCUUAGUGGCGCACGGGUGAGUAACGCGUAAUCAACCUGCCCUUCAGAGGGGGACAACAGUUGGAAACGACUGCUAAUACCGCAUACGAUCUAAUCUCGGCAUCGAGGAUAGAUGAAAGGUGGCCUCUACAUGUAAGCUAUCACUGAAGGAGGGGAUUGCGUCUGAUUAGCUAGUUGGAGGGGUAACGGCCCACCAAGGCGAUGAUCAGUAGCCGGUCUGAGAGGAUGAACGGCCACAUUGGGACUGAGACACGGCCCAGACUCCUACGGGAGGCAGCAGUGGGGAAUCUUCCGCAAUGGACGAAAGUCUGACGGAGCAACGCCGCGUGAGUGAUGACGGCCUUCGGGUUGUAAAGCUCUGUUAAUCGGGACGAAAGGCCUUCUUGCGAAUAGUGAGAAGGAUUGACGGUACCGGAAUAGAAAGCCACGGCUAACUACGUG